rnacentral:tRNA from 1 species
GCCCAGAUGGUGAAAUCGGUAGACACAAGGGAUUUAAAAUCCCUCGGCCGUAAGGCUGUGCGGGUUCAAGUCCCGCUCUGGGCACCA